ensembl:lincRNA Gm44169 predicted gene, 44169
GGAGAGUUCACUCUCUGAGCAAGCUGUAAUCACAGGAUAGCCGUGGGCCCCACAGAGUAAACAAACUAAUCCAAACACAAAGAUGAAAAUAAAUGAAGAUUCCUGCCUGUUGCCCACCACCCACUGCCAUGACUUGAAAUGGAGCCAAGUUUCUCCAUGUGAAAGUCAUCAGGGAUGUGACAUAGAGUUUGUUGUCACUGACACAAAGUAAACAAGUUACCCAGAGCUUACUGGAAAUGCAUGCCAGACAAACAAAAUGCUGAGGUGCCCAGGACCUCGUGCUGUUGCUCCUGCACCCUGUUGCUCUCUCUAAUGGACUUUACCCUCAAACUGUGAGCAAAAGUAGACUCUUCAAGUAG